AAUUAACAAAAACUACAAUGACCAUGACAAGAACAGAACAUAAAUGACAAAUUACAAAAUAAAAGACAUGACAAAACAGAAUCCUGACACAUUCAUAUACAAAAUUGUAUGAAUGCGUAUCAGUUCAGUAUCAGUAACUCUUAGAAUGCAGUUUAAUAAUGUCAGUCCAAAUAACAAAUUAUAUUUUCUUUCCUCAGUUCCUUAUAAUGAAUGAUCCAGUGCUCAAAAAGUAAUAAAUAAUCCAAAACUUCAAGAACCCAAUGAAAUACGUUGUUGUAGGCCAUGCAAUGCAGAUGUCUAUGAAGACAAAAAGAUUUUUACCGGAUGCAACAAUGGCCUACUCCAUUAAAUUUCUGCGCGACGACGGUCACAAGGAUCAACAGGAUAAGCUUCUCUAGGGGCGGCUUCAGCUUGACCUAAUUACACUCAAUUGGCUGCUCACCUGCACAGCACAGACCAAGAGCUCAAAAUGGAGUAAUGGUUUACUGCAAUUAUUUACAUGUUGCCUUAUAU